CCCACUUAUUUCCAUGCAGAUUUAUCGCCUUAUAACUUUUUUGUGUUGGCUACCACAGAUGUAUGACUAAAGGAAUAAAAACACCCAAUACUUUGCUGAUUAAAAUGGGAGGUUAGGAUUUUCCCUGAUAUUAAAACAGAGCUGUUUGACACACGACAUAAUCCAGUCCCCAGCCGAAAACCAAUAUUCCUAUCAAACCAACGAUGCUCCACAGUAGAUUUAAGUCAUUAAGAAACCACAUUCUACAAAUGUCAUUUAUCAGAAACACAUUUCUUGACAUGACAUCCGCUCUGGGACUGGCUGGAGUAAUUUUCAUGUUAUGUUCCUGUUCAGCCAAAAUUGCUGACAUCAUUAGAGCGAGGCGCCAGGAGGCUAUAGGCUAAAAGCCUUCAGGGCAGAAUGACAGAAAGGGGGAGGGGAGAUGUUUUAUGGGGGGCAUUCCUAAUAUUAGGUUUCAGAUGCCAAAGUUCUUGAGUCAUUUCAACCCAAAGUCUUUGGAUAAAAGCUGGAAUCCAGUCCUGGACUCUGUAAUCAGCUGACACUAGAGUCUUCUCUUAACUUCUCUUUAAUUUUUACACUGCAUCCUUUGUUUUCCUUUGCUAUGGCACAAUACGUCCCACAGUUAAAACUUUUAAGGUUUUGCAGGAUGAAUGAGGAAAUAUCUUCCAGAUGUACAAGCCUCAAAACAUUAGAUAAAAACUUCGAUAAAUACGGGCUUGGAAAUUAGGAAUUUUCUUUGGGUUGUUAUGUUAAGGCAACCUGGGUACAAAACCUGAUUUUGUUUAUUUAUUUAAAAAGGAAAACAUAUGUGGGUAUUUCAUAAUGGCUAUCAUGUUGCAGUGAAGUCUGAAGCCCCCAUCUGCUUCUAGACCCCUACCACCAUAGAGCCUGGCUGCAGCUGCAUCCUCUCGCUCUCUCUCUCUCUCUCUCUCUCUCUCUCUCUCUCUCUCUCUCUCUCUCUCUCUCUCUCUCUCUCUCACACACACACACACUGCUCUCCUCUCCCUCCGACCAGCUGUCAUGACCAGCAGUGAAGGUAUCCCCUUUCUCUUCAAGAAUUUGGCUCUAACUUUAAAUCGUGAGCAUGCAUUGAUAAUAGAUGCAGCAAAUUCUUCCAUCUUCUUGACCUCCCUAAAGACUCACUGGCAGCAGAUAAAUGAGAACUUUAAUGGGUCUAUGUUUCUGAUUUAUCAGAAAUCCCAUGAAAAGAGCAAAGCCAAUGAUGAUUAGUUUCAACUAACAAAUUUUGCCUGUAGUCAAAGCCUGACUUAUCAUACUUUUUAGUGAUACGCUGCUCAGUUGUUGCCUAUAAAGCUAUUAAAAACAUAACAGUGAGCCAGAUUGUUGCUAAGAAUGAUGUGGAAUUGCAUCUUGAUAAAAACUGCCACAUCACUAACGUCACGCCCUGAAGUCAGGAUUUGAUUGCCAGCCCUAAAUUCAUGACGCCACUGUAUCAUGAUUAUUUUAAAAGGUGCAAGCAACCCAGAUUAUGUUGAAAUUCAGCGGAGAAGUUUCCUUGUAAAACUUUUUUUCAGUGAUGCUUUCAUUUUUCCUUUUUUUGCCUCGUCUCUAACUUUAUUCCCUGUUUUAAGUACACACAUGCUUUUAUUUUGAAAGGACAUAAAGGGUUCUUGCAGCAGAUCAUAACCCAAAUGAAAACAGCCAAUAAACCAAUUAACAUCAGACCGUCUUAAUGUUUUAUUGGGAUAGUCAAGAAAUUGGAGAUGCCUGUGUAUCCUGAGUUAGAAAAACAACUCUGCUCCUUUUUCAUGUUUGCUGUGUCAGAACUUGGAUCAAUUUUAGCUCAUAAAUGCCUCACAGCCAAAGAAGAGCCUGUUGUAAAAAAUAAGAAUAAAUCCAGUCCCAUAUCAAAGCCAACAGAGAUGAGAGACUCUGUGAGUAAAUGUGAAUCCUACACUGUCUGCCUGCCACCCUUGAACCUCAUCCUCAAUCUCUCUCUGUCUGUCCGUCCGUCUGAUGGAUGCAGGCGGUGAAUUUCUCAUGGAGGCAGCUCUAUGCGGGUAUGCAGCUGCUGGUAGACUGAAGUUACAGGUUGAAUGAGUCAUUAGUGGCAGGAGAAGGGGAUGCUACCACCUGAUUCUGUCUUGUUCAAAGGAGUGGGAUUUGUUUGUAGUGUGUAAAGUCACUUCAAAAAGGACGGACUGAGACUUUGUGGAGACAUUUGAACUUGAGUGGAAUUCAGCUGAGGUAAAAAAAUGGAAAAAUCCAUGCAGGCUUCACUAUCCCUCCUCAAACACUGAGUAAUAACUGUAAUAUCUAAAUAACUACACCCAAAAGCACUCAAAUUUUCUUCAUCAAAGAAACAUCUUUUUAUUUUUACAUUUGCUUUAAUUUAUAAUUUCAAACAUCACAUUGCAGAUUCAUUCUGACAAACAGUGUUUAAUCACAGUUUUGCUUUCAUAUCAGAAGGGUAAGAUGUGACUUUUACCAGGCAUGUCACCAAAAAAAAAAACUGUAUAUGAGUGCAGUUUAAAACUAUUCAUAGUCAACAAAAGCUUGUACUUGUAUUGCAAAUACACAUAUUAAUUACAUGAUUUACAUGCCUGAAGAGACCAAAGUACCACCACAAAGACCAACAUUAAGAAUCCUGUGGCAAUUGAUCUAGCUGAAAACACGUGUUUGUAGCUCUUUGUUUUGGUGUACAUGGUAAAAAGUGAGCCUUGUGUGGAGUCUGUGAUUAUGGACAAACAUAUGUAAGUUCUGUAACCAGCGUAUAUGCAUCAGAUUAUAUAAAAAUCCAAAAGUGAUCCUUUCCCUGAACUUGAGUAGUUUCAGCACUUUGACAAAGUAAUUUUGGUGCCCCAAGUAAAACUGUGACCAUUUACAAUGUGGACCACUUUUUAACAACUUGUUAAUGAUUCUCGUCCAAAAGUCAUAAAAUUAGAAAUGUAACCAGGUGGUGCAAACUUGUCAGAAGUGCCUCACCAAGCCAAUGUGAUGCCGACUUCAUUUACAAGUUUUGGAACUUGGGACGAAAGACCCAACUAAACAAGUGUGUAAGAGCAUGUUGCAAUAGCGUGAUUGUGUCAUUUAGUAUCAUGUAUCAUUGAGACGAUCACCUAGGACACAACUCCACAAUCCAACCACUAAUGUUGAAUCCAAUUCAUCAGUUUCCAGAGAAAACCACAAGAUUAAACAGCGAGCUCGAAUGGAAGAGCUUUGUUUUUGUGUGCCAAGAAACCACUUACUGCAGCUUAGAGGUAGUUCUGAUCUGCUGAGAUUUCUGGACUGGUUGAGGGUUCAGCUCAAAGAUUCCCCAAGUUUAAAGGGAACAAGAAGUCAGUCAGUCAGAGGAAAUCUGAGAACAUUAAAAUACUUAAAUCUGUUUUUUCCUCUCUUAUCCCACGACAGUGUGUUUAAUGUCAGAGAGGCUGGAGGUGUUCUCACAUGAAAGUUAGAGCUACGCUAUGAUGCAACAUAUUGGACUUUGGUGCCACCUUGUCUGCAUGUUAUUACGUGUGUUACUACGUGUGUGUGUGUAUGUGUGUGUGUUACUGUGUGUGUGUUUGUGCUUUGUUUUCAUAGUAAUUUACCCAGCAUUUAAAGCAAAUGAGUUUCCCAUAGCAGCUGAGAUUGUAAUCAAAGCAUGGGUGACACGGUGAGAGCAUGACUGCAAAAGACUGAUGCUUCAAUCGCAAUACUCCAUAUUUCAACAUGUAAAUAUCUUGUGUUGUAAGAAAAGCAUUACAUGAAGGAUUACUCGCACCCAUGUUCGCAGCCAUCUCCAGCGUAUAAAGUGAGACACUGGUUGAGCAAGUGCCAAAUUUGGCUUUUCUAGUCACCCGUAAUCGAAAACCAGCUUUUGCUUUCACUAUGAGAAAAUUAUGGAAAAUCCAAAGUAGAAGAAAAACUGAACAAUUGUACUGGCAGUAAAAGGUGAGCUGUGUAGCAGGUGUGUUAGUGAAGCAGAGGGACAGAGUGAGCAUGAAAAGAAAGUGACUGUGUUCAAUAAUGUAUGUUUACUGUUAGUACUGUUAAAGUUUUAGGGAGGUUCUCGAGUUUAAAAGAUGCGUUUGAUUGCCAGUUCGAUGAGUAAUCUUGUUUUUACUGAGCAGUCCUAUUGGAAGCUGAAAAAACAGUGUCUUUUUUUCAAUGCAGCUGACCUUUAUGGUUGUGUGGAGUCAGUGGAAAAGUUUAGAACUGCUAAAGGCAAAAAUCAAGAUGUUGAACUUUAACUUCAGACCAACAUUUAUUAGAGCUCUCACUGAUAAACUUUCUUUUUUGGCUUCCCGUCUUAGAGGUCACAGGUUAGUUCAGUCAGUCAUCACGAGAUUCUGUGUUUUGGAAAGCUUCCUGCUCUAUCUGUGCCUUAUUUUAUUCAUUUUUUUCAAGAUCUGAUGAAACCGCAUGUGAAACUGAUGCAACAGAAAAGUUUUGGAGUUGAACCUUGUGUUGGUCCCAGCAGAAGUUCUCCCUGAACAGGCCCCUCUACUAAUUUGAUCCAAGCUGGAGAGAAAAGCAGACACAAAUCUGCCUGCUAAAGCUGAACUGAGAAACUUUCACUGUAACUUUAUAGACAUCAUUGUUUUAACACUUUUUCAGAUGGAAUCCAAUUACUGGAGUAUUUUAGCAUUAUAUAAAAACUUUGCUUGCCUUUUGAGACACAAAUCAUUAAACUGGCAUUUGUUCUUUAUGGAUGGAGUGUGCAGCUAUGAGAAAAUAUGGAACAGACUCUCUCCCUUUGUUUCUUUUUUCAAUAUGUAAAAAAAAAAUAUAUGCAGCUUAGAUGUGUGUAUGGUUUGGUUUAGGUUUGGAAUUUUCCUCACUAUCACAGUGACAGUGACACAUUUAUCUUGGAAUAGCUUCAUGUUGACCGAAAUGUGUACCAUGCCUAUCUGAACAUCAAAACCAGGCGCUGGAAACGAUGCCAGAAGUUCCCUCGUAAAUGAGUCCCAUAUGGUUUCAACCAAAACAACUGCUUGGCCUUGUCUGAAUUUAUACAACACUGCUGUAUCUUUGUGGACUACACAGUAGUUUGACUACAUGCUUGUUUAAAUGUGUUUGUGUUUGAGUUAGCACUCCUCAGCAAAGUCAUUUUUCACCAAAUAUCAUUAUACUUAAUGAGUUUUUCUAUGUGAUUCUUUCAGUCUCAUUCUCCAUGAACCCAAGAAGUCUGACUUUGCUUUGUUUAUCUUUGUGUCCCGUCAAAGUAACUCAUAAUGCAGUGACGCCACGAUAGAGAAAAGGAAGGUACCAUGUUUCUCAUAGCGCAUGCAGCUCAAAUAGUGACAGCCUCCUUUGGUUUGUAGUUAUGCGGUUUACCAGACACUAAUUUAAAUGCUCAGUUGCAGCAUCCCAUGUUCCUCAAAAUAUGAUAAUUGACUCAGUUGUGCUAAGUUUCUCAGGCUCAUGUUUUAUGCAUCAGUGCUUACUGCCUGUCUGCUUUUGUCAUUGAUACCGAGCAUGGCCUGCUGCGCUCUGCCCGGAAUGGCAAGAAGGCUUGAGUUUCCUUCCAGCACAUCCCCAGUCCAUUACCCAGAGGGCUGUGCAGCUCAUUCCUUGGCCUUAGCAAGACCUUGAGAGGCCUGCGCUGCUUUGUUUAUGGGUGUGCACUGGAGGUUGGCUAUGGUUGAUAUCAACUGAGGGUGAAAGUUAGUGACAGGGAUGUUGCAGCUCCAAUUCAUCACCAAGUCAUAUAUUUUUGCCCAUUUCCUGCCACCACAUAUUGUUGUACAACUUAUUCUUCUCAUUUAAAAACUUAAUCAGCUUUUUCUUGUUGGGUUUGAUAUAUACAGUCCUGCAGUAGAGGGAAAGGUACAUAAAUCUCCUAAAGAUACAAAUAAAGUUAACUCAAUGGAAAAUGUUAAAGUAGUUUUUGUGAAUAGAACCAUGUUGAACACGAAUAUUUCAGAUUAUAGAUGACCUCUGAGUAUUGCUCUUUAGGAUUUUUGUACCUUUAGAUUAUGAUUACUAUGAAAUGGGAACAUGUUCACAGUGUUGAAUGUUAAACUUGAUCCUGAUCAGUAAAAAUCCACAACAAAAAACGUGAUUUUGUCCAGCACUUUUCACCCCUGCUCAGUUGACACUGUGGUAAAAACACGGUUUCUGUUGUUCACCCUGUCUGAAUUCCUAUUUGCAUAACCACAGUUUUGAUGCCUCAUGCAGCUCCUAAAUUUUAUUUUUUUUUGAGAGAUGCUGUGUACGAUACUUGAAUAUAUCUACUUGGCCACUUUCCACCAUAUUUGCAUGAAUUAAACAUCGAGUGCGCAAACUUAGAAAGCUCAGGCGAUAAAAUUAGAACGUCAUAUUGGGUGUUGACAGAAAUGCUGAGAGCAGGGCAGCACUGCAGAAAUUUUGGAGAUGACUUGGCCUAUCAGUCAUGAGGUGCAGCUGCUCCUGUCGGGUAAGGGGGAGGGGGAAUGCUUGAGGAUGUGUAAAUCAGGUCUUGCCUGUCCCCAAACUCCAACCAGAGACUUGAGUAAAGCCUAAUGGAAAAAUCAGGACAUGCAGAAGGAAUCCUUUAGACUCUCAAGGCUGCACUCCAGAGCGUUUUUUCCCCCUCUCUGGAUGCUUUAAACAUGUACAACGAUAAAAACGCACAAGAAACACAUGAAUAGAGGAAUCAAGAUGAACGGCACUGAAGUUUGACAAACUGGUUAAUAUUUUUCCAUGAUUUUAUUAUCUCCGCUGCUUCCUGUUCUGCAAAUUCUAACUCCUAAAUGUUCCUUAUGCUGAAUCGUGCUUUGAUGUGAAAAUGCAAAUGCGUGCUCACACACCAAAAUCUUUCUUCACACACACCAUGUGGAAACCAUGUUAUCUCAAGUUCAAAGCAUAGCCUGGGUGUCUUUCUUCCUCUGUGGAGAGACUUACUCAACCCGAGAAAACGCUUUAAUGAUAAGACCUGAGUGUGACGGAUAGUUUGAUAUCAAAGACUCAAGGACCAGACGUGCUGAACGUUUCCACACAGGGAGCAGUUGUCCGUCUUUUUAAGCUGAACUAAGGCAGUAAUUUUAAAACUAACGUACUCACUAGAAGGGUUUGCUAAAUGGAUCAACAUUCAGUAUAUUAAUAUUCCUUAAAGUGGAUUUCCUGCUUUAAUUUUCAAGAUGGAUGGCUUUGUCUUUAGGAGAGCCGCUCGUUUACUUGUAUUUUCUGACAGUCCUUUUACAUAAUGUCAAAAAAAUUAAAACUUUAUGUCAAUAAAUUAAAUUUGACUUGUAAAAUACAUGCAAACAUAUUAGUCCAUCUUAAUUUGCACUAAUCCAAAUGUCUGUAUUCAAUCUUGAUAAUGACUUUCUUAGUCAGUUGGUAACUUCUGAAUAUUUUGCAUCUUGAAAGUUAUUGUUUUUUGUUGUUUUAUAUUUUUAUGACGCUCAGCUUUACUUUGUGGUUUCACUGUGUGUCCACACUCUCAUUAUCCUUGCUCCAGAAACGGUCCACAACAGUAUUCAGAGAAAAAGCUCCUACUAAUGCACAGUACUCUGACUGUCCAGCAGCACCACUGUGAACAAAGACAAUGUGCCUUUCAUGGCUUUAUUGAGAGGACAGGACAAAGAAUAGAGUCAGAAACAGAGAAGAGAAAGUCGGGAAUGACAAGCAGAAACCGGCUGAGAGUGGGAGUUAAACCAAAGGACUGUAGCCGAUGUAUGUGGAGCACUGGGCUAAGUCAGCCAGCACCUCUGAAGAAAGGCAAACCUAACCACAAGCUAAUAAACACAGCAGACUAUUGACCGGCUGAAGAGCCAGAUUUUCCCCUUUAGAGUCACUGAAGAUUAAACGGAGAGUGAAUGAGACCCUAAACUCACCAACUGCAUGUGAAAAGUUUGAUUUUUUACUUUUACCAGCUUUUGUAAUCAACUAUAUUAAAACAUUGGUGUCAACACUUCGAUCAGGAUGUCUUAAAAACCACACAGACAAAUGACAGCUUUGUUUGAAACUUAUGUAACGUCUUUAUUAGCUAAGAGAGAGAGCAGCUGUGUCUCUGGCCCUUUUCCAAUUUUACCAGCUUGACCUGGGGUGCCUCAUUUUUCUGACCUCAGGUCAUCCUGUGUUUUUUUAUAAAUAGAAACAACCUUGUAUGUAAAAGUUUUAUCAAGAGUGCUGCUCCAAUCUAAAUGUGUAUGGUAAGUCUAACUGCUGCGAUAACAAGAAACAGAGAAAGUCUCUUUCCUUGAGCUCGCUCUCUUUGAACCUACAGGCUUAUCAUCAGUGCUCUGGAGUAUUCUCAGGAAUACGUCUGGAGGAGGGAGAUAAAAGAAAGCAGCAGGGGGAGGCAGAAAGGUCCUCAAGUUGACACUAUCCAGCCAUCUGAGCAAGGGACUUUUCAGAUAGUUCAAUGUUGACUGAUAAAUCAGCCUCUGGUCUUCUUCUUUAUCUUCAUUCAGGGUGGACAGAUCGGGACAGAAAGUAUGCCUGCACAGGGAAGGCCAGAAGAAGGAGCAGAUUGUUCGGUUGCUGUCAUAGAUGGAUCAGAGGUCUGCUGUGUGCUGGAUGGAUGAGUGUGUUUGCUAUGUGUUUGUGCUGUCUAUAUGGGUCCAGACUGCCAGGCUCCAUACAUAGAGUCAGUCAGGGUGCACGGCCGGGUUCAGGAAAUGACUGCGAUUAUGCCAAAUGUCCCCUUCGCCUUAGUGUCCCUUGUGGUGAUGGAUAUGGUAUGUAAUAGAGUAGAGAUGUGACUCCACAGAGGCUGCUCAAAAGCACCAGUCUUUGCAGCCCCAUCUUGAGUUCAAUCUCUGAAUUUUGAGGUUUAUUUUUUUCCAUAGUCUUUUUACAUUCUGGGGGAAUUUCUUUUGUUAACAUCCUAAAAAACAUUCCCAGAUACUUUUAGAUACAGAGCAACAAGGCACUAAAGGGUCGUAAAAGGUGUCUCAAGCAAGCCGCUGCACAUUCACAGUCCUCGCAUUCCUCCCACUUCACAGGAUGACCAGAGGCUAACAGAGUGAGGUAACACAAGGCCGUAAACCUUUAGCCAUCACAGCGGGACACACCUGCCCCUUAACACAAAGAGACACAGCGAGGAACCAUAGGUGCACACCUGGAUGGGAAAUUUGAGAGCAGCAACAAGACCAAGCUGUCAGAGGGGGGGAAACUUCAGAUCAACACACUUCUCCUUAGUUAAACUUUCUUCACUUAGACUUUGCUCACACUGCAAACAAAAAGACCAAGUCUGAUUUUUUAUUUGUUCAGAUUCAGACUCUUGAACUUUUUAAAGCAGCAGAACUCGCACUGGAUCGGAUCUUUUUAAUUAGAUGUUGUCCAACUCCUGUCCUGCUCUCCUCUCUCCAUCUGAAACAGUUCAUUUGUGGAUAUUCAUGUAUUUUUUAUAGCAUUAGACAUUAGUAGCCAAAAUCCCACAAUACAUUGGAACAAAAGUAGGAAUCCAAGUAGAGGCUAGAUGGAUAAAAACACUUCAACAUAGUGUCCUCUAUUUGGCUUAGCCUCAGUUUGUGCAGCACUGGAAUGAAGCUAUUUUUAUCCAUGUUAACUAAAUUCCCUCAAACCUGCGGUUAUUUUAAGGUGUUUUGUGGAUGUGUUGCCUGUCUGUUCCUCUCUUUUCUGCUCUUUCUUCUCCUGUUUCACUUAACAAGCCAAGACAUUUCACUGUUUCAAAUUUUCUCAGGAAGACUAAACACAUUCCAGUGAACAUUAUUACUCCUGAAUUAGCUUUUAUGUGCUGUUUGAUUUACUUUGAGUAGUCUAAAUGGUUAUUUUAAGAGUUCACUGACUUGAUUUUAAGACUUGUUGAGUUUUGUCCCCCCAAAGGCUUGGGCCCAGUUCACUUUUUGUGCAUAAAAGGCAUUGUGCUCUUAAUCAGACAAGGCUGGAUUUGACCAAGGCUGAGAAAUCAGGUCAUUUCAGGCUGAGCAGUGUGGUUCAUAAUGAUAGAAGUGAUAACAUAGAGUUGAACAGCCAUGCUAAUUGGCAGACUUAUGAAGAAUACUGUAACUAUUCAAAACACUAGAAAAACAAAUGGACAGUCUUCAAACUUUCUCAGAUGUGCCCUGUGCCAAACUUGUUCAUUGGCGCAGUUGGAAUAAAGUAAAAAUGUGUUAUUUCUCAUGAAUCAUGGUGCAUGAGAUAAAAGCUGAGACUUGGCCCCAAGCUGAAGUUUCCACAUGAUUUAAUGGGAAUCUGUUUCAGUAGUUUUUAAAUGAUCCUGCUGUGAAAACAAACAGGCAAAUACCCAUAACCUCCUUGGUGUACAGCACACAUACACUGCAAUCAGACACUUCAAUUGGCUUUUUGAGAAAUGGUGAUUGCAGCUAAAUAACUAUGAUAUUUGGGCGACCUGGCCAAUAAAUAUUUGUAACAACCAAGCUUAAAGUAUUACCAUCCCAAGCUUCCUCUUCCUGUGGAUCAGUGUUAAAUUAUCUAUAAAUCCUGCUUGACUUAUUGCUUGUUUAUACAUCAUAACACAAACACACAUAAACCACUCUAAUGGCAAACUCAAAGUGGUUCAAUAUGGGAUAUAAAGUCAUUAGUUUUCUUGGCGUGCAGAUGUUUCGCAGAAAUGCAUAACCAGGCACAUGUUUAUGUUGACAAUAUCCCUGUAAUGCAGCAUUACAGAUUCAAUUUCUAAACUUAACAGGAGACCUCUGUGAAAAAGAAUUGGAUUUCUACUCUGCGGGUGUUUUGAGGAUACCGCUUUUUCUGCUGCUAUUGCCUGAAACUUUUGCUACUUUGGACUCACUCUUGUUGAUUCAUGUUGGUAAUCAGUGUAUAUUCUGUGGUUGUGUAAUUCCUUCCGUUUUCAUGAACGUUUUGUUGUACCCUCCUGUUGGUGCACACCACAGGGUCAGAACAUUAAAAAAAGAGCAAGUCCAUCCAACUCUCACAACUCCACACACUAGGAAGAAGACAUAAAAUGUGCCCUAACCCUCAACCUAAACUGCA